CCCCUCUCAGGAUGGCACCUGGAGAGUUUCCAGUACUCCACCAGUCUUGACAACAGUAGGGAGAGUCAAGCAGAGGCCUACCCAUUCCAUUCCUAGCUUGAGCAGUGACUAGUGAAUGGAAGGCAAUCUGCUACAAGU